CAGGGAGCCCAGUUGAAUUUUAAUUUCAGAUAAACAGCAAAUAAUUUUUUAGUAUAAGUAUGUCCUGUACAAUAUUUGGAACAUAUUUAUGCUAAAAAAUUGUUACUUCUUUGAAAUUAAAAUCUAACAGGGCCUCCUGU
rnacentral:miRNA from 1 species